AACGAACGCUGGCGGCAGGCUUAACACAUGCAAGUCGAACGAGAUCUUCGGAUCUAGUGGCAGACGGGUGAGGAACACGUGGGAACAUCCCUUUCAGUUCGGAAUAACGUUGGGAAACUAACGCUAAUACCGGAUACGUCCUUCGGGAGGAAGAUUUAUCGCUGAAAGAUUGGCCUGCGUCUGAUUAGCUAGUUGGUGAGGUAACGGCUCACCAAGGCUACGACCAGUAGCUGAUCUGAGAGGAUGGACAGCCACAUUGGGACUGAGAAACGGACCAGACUCCUACGGGAGGCAGCAGUGGAGAAUAUUGGACAAUCGGCGCAAGCCUGAUCCAGCCAUGCCGCGUGAUGGAUGACGGCCUUCGGGUUGUAAAGCUCUUGUGUCCGGGAAGAUAAUGACUGUACCGGAAGAAUAAGCCCCGGCAAACUUCGUGCCAGCAGCCGCGGUAA
rnacentral:rRNA from 1 species